AUUGAACGCUGGCGGCAGGCCUAACACAUGCAAGUCGAGCGGAGCGGCGGACGGGUGAGUAAUGCCUAGGAAUCUGCCUGGUCGUGGGGGAUAACGAUCGGAACUGGGCGCUAAUACCGCAUACUCUCAGAUUAGCAUAGGCCGGCUUAGCUAGUUGGUGGGGUAAAGGCCUACCCAGGCGAAGAUCCGUAACUGGUCUGAGAGGAUGAUCAGUCACACUGGAACUGAGACACGGUCCAGACUCCUACGGGAGGCAGCAGUGGGGAAUAUUGGACAAUGGGCGAAAGCCUUAUACAGCCAUGCCGCGUGUGUGAAGAAGGUCUUCGGGUUGUAAAGCACUUUAAGUUGGGAGGCGUUACCAGCAGAAUAAGCACCGGCUAACUUCGUGCCAGCAGCCGCGGUAAUAC
rnacentral:rRNA from 1 species